CCGAGGGACGUGUCUUCCAUCUCCUCCAAAACCACGGUGUCACGGAUGUGUGCCAGCCUCAGUCCCGGAACAUUGGCUGCAGGACACAACCAGGGUGGGCGCAGCUGCAAACACCCUCCUCAUCCCCUCUGGAAAGGCAAAGCGGAGCGAUGUGAGGACAGUGGAUGCUGGAGGACUCACGGCUGGGGGGCUGACGGGGCGUGCACGGGGUGUUGGCUGGGAUGUCCCAUUCCCACUCCAAGCUGCUGCCUGGAGAUGUCGGCAUCACCAUCGCUUACCACAGGGGAUGCCGCCGGCAGAGCCGGGCAGGGACUGAGCACGCAGAGCCGCCGCUGUGUCUCCAGGCGGCAGUAGCGGUUCUGGUUGGAGAUGCGGGUGGAGAAGCCGACGCCGCAGGUGGCCGAGCAGACGCUCCACUCCGUGCCCCACGGCUGGCAGAGUUGAUGCAUGGAUCUAAAUACAUCUCCUGGGAAGCUCUGCUGUUUCUAUAGAAAUGAAGGCACCCACUCAGCAAAUGGACUUCUUCAGACAGCCGUGUUUCUCCAUGCUGUGCCAUUGAACAUGCCAUGUCCUUGUCUAGGUGGGGUGUGCUGCAGAGGGUCCCAGCUCCCUUCCCAGUGCUGGACUUCCCAGGCAUGCACUUCCCAUCAACCAGCUCCUCCUGACCACAUCCCCAGCCAAGUCCAUAACGGCACAGCUGAAACCUUUAGUGUAUGUGUGGGAUCCAGCUGAGAAAAACAAGCCUCCAGGUCUCACCAUGGUUAUGAAAGCAGCGAUGUCGCCCGGAAAGUAUGUACCAGGGAGCAGAGAGCUGCAGUGCCGAAAGGGGUGAGCGGGGGAGGUGGGCAUCCGCUCAAAUAUGACUCAAAAUCAGGGGAAAUUAUUUCUGAUGAACGUAAUUACUUCGGCUCCAGCCCUGAUCAAUACGAGGAGAUGAAACACUCAUAAACCAGCCGAGAAUGCGA